AACGAACGCUGGCGGCAGGCCUAACACAUGCAAGUCGAGCGAGGACUUCGGUCCUAGCGGCGGACGGGUGAGUAACGCGUGGGAACGUGCCCUUUGCUUCGGAAUAGCCCUGGGAAACUGGGAGUAAUACCGGAUGAGCCCUUUGGGGGAAAGAUUUAUCGGCGAAGGAUCGGCCCGCGUUGGAUUAGGUAGUUGGUGGGGUAAUGGCCUACCAAGCCGACGAUCCAUAGCUGGUUUGAGAGGAUGAUCAGCCACACUGGGACUGAGACACGGCCCAGACUCCUACGGGAGGCAGCAGUGGGGAAUCUGAGACAAUGGGGGAAACCCUGAUCUAGCCAUGCCGCGUGAGCGAUGAAGGCCUUAGGGUUGUAAAGCUCUUUCAGCUGGGAAGAUAAGGACGGUACCAGCAGAAGAAGCCCCGGCUAACUCCGU
rnacentral:rRNA from 1 species